AUUGGACGCUGGCGGAAUGCUUUACACAUGCAAGUCGAACGGUAGUGGGGGCAACCCCUCGAGAGUGGCGAACGGGUGAGUAAUAUAUCGGAACGUGCCCAGUCGUUGGGGAUAACGUAGUGAAAAUUACGCUAAUACCGCAUACGAUCUAUGGAUGAAAGCGGGGGAUCGCAAGACCUCGCGCGAUUGUACCGGCCGAUAUCAGAUUAGGUAGUUGGUGGGGUAAAGGCCCACCAAGCCAACGAUCUGUAGCUGGUCUGAGAGGACGACCAGCCACACUGGAACUGAGACACGGUCCAGACUCCUACGGGAGGCAGCAGUGGGGAAUUUUGGACAAUGGGCGAAAGCCUGAUCCAGCCAUUCCGCGUGCAGGAUGAAGGCCCUCGGGUUGUAAACUGCUUUUGUACAGAACGAAAAGGUUUCUACUAAUACUAGGAGCUCAUGACGGUACUGUAAGAAUAAGCACCGGCUAACUACGUGCCAGCCGCCGCCGUAA
rnacentral:rRNA from 1 species